AGUGAUUAUAAUAGAUAGGUGGU
rnacentral:guide_RNA from 1 species